rnacentral:lncRNA from 1 species
AUUGCACGUAAUUCUAGUUUUCUUUGGCCGAAAAAGGCAAAAAAUGAGGAACUAUCAUGACGGGGCAGUGACUACGGUUCCUUAGGUCAUAUUUGAUGGCCCGAAAAAUUUUAGGUGAUCCGGGGUCCGGGGGUUCCGGGACCACUUGGAAGGCGUGGGCUAUAACACACGAAAAUAUGGGAAUCGGGCGAAAUUCUAGUUUUUUGGCCGAAAAAUGCAAAAAAUGAGGAACGAUCAUGGUGGGGCAGUGACUAAGGUUCCUUAGGUCAUAUUUGAAGGCCCGGAAAAAUUUUAGGCGAUCGGGGUCCGGGGUUCCCGGGACCACUUGGAAGGCGUGGGUAUAGCACACGAAAAUAUGGAAAUCGGGCGGAAUUCUAGGUUUUUGGCUGAAAAACGCAAAAAAUGAGGAACGAUUAUCGCGGGGCGGUGACUAUGGUUUUUUAGGUCGUAUUUGAUGGCCCGAAAAAUUUUUAGACGAUCGGGGUCCGGGGUUCCCG